UGCCACAGAACUUGUAGACAUUACGUUUUAAACAAGACAUUUUCUCUGUAGAAACAUAAAACUGCACAAAAAGAAACACUUUUUUUGUGACAGCUACACUGCCACCAAAAUUACAAAGGUUUAUAUUCACUCAUAUGUUAAACAAAUUAAAUUUUUGACAAUUAACCAAGUUGUCACCUCAACAUCAAAACAAUGUACAGGAAGUCCUUGAGUGACGACGCACUCGACCGACGACGUUUCGACUUUACGAUGCCCGUAGUUCGUCCGCCAUUUUGUCCCAGCACCAUAGUGUUUCUGCUUAGCUAGUGCAUAGUUGUCUGUGUUUGUGCGCCAGGAGUAUAUUUGCCUUAUUCGCCCUCCUUUUUUCACACUCUCAGCAUUAAUGCGUCUGUGUGCAAAGUCUUUUAAUGGCGUGUCUGCUACAUAUCCCCCCUUCGUUGGCUUGAUCCGGCUCGAUGGGGGAUCUCGGCGACGUCUCGUUGGACGAUGGCAGGAACACACACAACAAUGCAUUUACCAAGAAAGGAAGAUGUCUCUCCUUCAAGAAGAUGACUCAGCAUCAUCCGAUGGAAGGGCGCCUUGACCAAGGACGUGAUCGGAUGUGGUCGGGGACGUGCAAGGUGUUGGUCCAAUAUUUUGUGUUGUGUCUUGUUGUUUAGAACGUUAUGUCUUGAAAAACCCUCCUAUUUUCAAAUGUUUUGUGUUGUGUCUUGUUGCUGAGAACGUUAUGUCUUGUAAAACCCUCCUAUUUUCAAAUAAAUGCAGGAGUGACGAGAGAGAUUGUUUAGAGCGUGUUGAGAGGCUGUAAACUGAACAAUCUCCCAUACGCC